UCCAUUUUGGCGGAUAAGCGCGCAAAGUUUAGGACUUUGAGUAUGGCAUCUCCAAUUGGGA
rnacentral:tRNA from 1 species